rnacentral:rRNA from 1 species
GACGAACGCUGGCGGCGUGCUUAACACAUGCAAGUCGAACGAAGUGGCGCACGGGUGAGUAACGUGUAAUCAACCUGCCCUUCACAGGGGGACAACAGUUGGAAACGACUGCUAAUACCGCAUACUGAUGGAGGGGUUUGCGUCUGAUUAGUUGGUUGGAGGGGUAACGGCCAACCAAGGCGAUGAUCGGUAGCCGUUCUGAGAGGAGGAACAGCCCCAUUGGGACUUAGACCAGGCCCAGACGGCUACGGGAGGCAGCAGUGGGGAAUCUUCCGAAAUGGACGAAAGUCUGACGGCGCAACGCCGCGUGAGUGAUGACGGCCUUCGGGUUGUAAAGCUAUGUUAAUCGGGACGCGGUACCGGAAUAGAAAGCCACGGCUAACUACGUGCCAGCCGCCGCGGUAAUAC